rnacentral:ribozyme from 1 species
GACUGGAAAGAUACUAUCGUUCGGUUGCGGUGAUGACGGACAAAGAGGUGAUGGCAGGGCUGGAGAUGAUUCAGAUAGACCAGUUGUAACGCCCGUUAGUAUCCCAGUCGAAGCAAAAGAAGUCGC